AUAAUACUUCCUACGUCCGAAAAUAUUUGUCAUAAGAAUGGAUGUAUCUAGAUGUAUUUUUGUUUUAAAUACAUUUAUUUUUAUUAAUUUGUGCGACAAGUAAUUUCGAACGAAGAGAGUAUAAG
rnacentral:pre_miRNA from 1 species